rnacentral:SRP_RNA from 1 species
AACAAGGGCUAAGAUGGCGUAAACUUUCGAACCAUGUCAGGGGGGAAACUCAGCAGCAUUAAGAUUGACCUUACGGGUGUUUUAUUUUUUGUAGGA